AGAGAGAGAGAGAGAGAGAGAGAGAGAUUGACGUUAUCUGUGAAACUCGUUGAUUGUGAAGCAUCUUCCACAUGUCAUUGUUACGCGUUGCAAAAUAGUGCCUAAAAAAUUCGCUCGUCUACCUCUGUCUCUCGCAUUUUCCUCUGUUCUCUAGCCCGUGCAUUUGCGCGUUGCUUACUUUAUGUUUUACGAAGCUUUACGGCGAGCUCGCGGUCGCCGCUGCCGCUCUCUCGUGCCUCUUAUCUACUUCGUCGAAUAACUAAUUCCGUCGUACGGUUCGCCAACUUUCGCGACUCGAAUAUUCGCGAGAGUCGUCGUACGAUAACGUCGUCACGUGGAUAGGACGGAAAAGAGCCCGCCUCGCGUUCUUACAGACGACACUUUCAAUUUAGCGUCUGUUUUUUCAAGGGUUCGACUCCCGCCUUGCGAAAACACUCGACGGAACGCGUCACCACCCACCCCUGGCGGCCGUCAACUUUCCACCUCUGUCGGAGAGUCGCGCUCCUCUAUCCAGGUUCUACAAAUACCUCGGAUCGUCCGGAUACUCCACUUUUCGUCAAUUAAAUCGAUCCCGACGCGGAGCCCCGACAUCAAGAUCGAGUUGGCCGCGAAUUUGGCAAAUCAUCGCGAAAGAGAUCAAUGCAGCUGACGAAAAUAUUAACUGGUUUCGAUAAAUGCGACGCGCGAAACACGGGGGCACCCCAGAUAAAAACGCCGACUUACGAAAUUUCCAUUAAAUCCAUAUAGUCGGAUGCAUUAAUUGACUGUCAAGAUGACACGUUGUCAUUAAUAAAUUACACUAUUUUACAAGGUUUUGUAGCACUUGGAGUAUUUGGAGCACUGUUUCUUGAGUGAUUUCCAACGCUGAGCGAAUCUUUCUGCCAUCGAAAUAUUUUCAUCAGGCCCUCUCUCUUCGAGAGAGAUGUACGAAAAGUCACUUUUACGAUAUACUGCGAAUUUUUAUCAUAAAUAUAGAAAACAAAUUGUUGAGUAUUAAAUUGUUUUUCUUUUUCAUAUAACAUCUUGGAUCGCUUUCGCAUAUUGGCGCAUACAGCAGCAGCCGGCUAGCAUAUUUUCCCGAUAUCAUCCCAAUAUCACUAUCGUGAUUUGCAGGUAUACCAAACAUAAGGCAAAUAAACUUUCUCGUCCAUUUACGCCAAAUGGCUCUGCAACUAACAACGCAAAAAACAAACGCAGUGCCCAUUGUUUAUCUUGGUUUACCGAUCGCGAAACCAAAGUAAUAUAAAUACACGAAUUUCAGCGAUCCUAUGAUUAUGCAACUCCUUCUUCCAACAAUAUAUUGCCUACAAAUACAACAGUUUGGAUCAGUUUUACACUCUUUUUUUUUAUGCGAUAAUAUUAAAAAAAAAAAAAAAACACAUUCGCACGGUAUUUUCCUAGACAAAUGGUGAUA